AAGAAAAAAGCUUUGCCUCUCUGUUCAGUAUUGCAUGACCGACCAAUCUUUUAUUUUCUUUUGACUCUCUCUCUCACACACACACUCUCUCAUACUUAUGUUAUAACUUAGAAGUCGCUUUCGCUAAAAAGAGAACCUCUUUUCUCUCUCGUGCUUAUCUUAAAGUACAAACUUAGGAGUUACGUGCAAAGAUGAAACACUAUCAUUGUAAAUAAAAACUCCUAUUUUGGUCAUCCAUUGUUAUCCACUCUUUCCAUUUAUACAUGCCGCCUUCUCCGCCUAAUUAUCCACCACAUCCCAUGCUCUUUCUUCUUUAUCUCUCUUCCCUCUCUCUCUAUCUCUAGGCCUGCAAUUAUCAGGAGGACCACAUGACUAUAAUGGUUGGACUCGCUGGCUUCUUCUAAGGUUGCUUU